rnacentral:rRNA from 1 species
GUGGGGAAUAUUGGACAAUGGGCGAAAGCCUGAUCCAGCCAUGCCGCGUGAGUGAUGAAGGCCUUCGGGUUGUAAAACUCUUUCGACGGGGACGAUAAUGACGGUACCCGUAGAAGAAGCUCCGGCUAACUUCGUGCCAGCAGCCGCGGUAAUACGAAGGGGGCUAGCGUUGCUCGGAAUCACUGGGCGUAAAGCGCACGUAGGCGGCUUUCUAAGUCAGGGGUGAAAUCCUGGAUCUCAACUCCAGAACUGCAUUUGAUAAUGGAGAGCUUGAGUUCGGGAGAGGUGAGUGGAACUGCUAGUGUAGAGGUGAAAUUCGUAGAUAUUCGCAAGAACACCAGUGGCGAAGGCGGCUCACUGGCCCGAUACUGACGCUGAGGUGCGAAAGCGUGGGGAGCAAACAGGAUUAGAUACCCGGGUAGUCC